CACUUAAACAUUUUGUUCCACAGUGUUGCUCAACAUCAUCAAUUUGGAGAACGUUUAACUCAGAGGCUUUAAAAAAUGAACACAGCUGAGUGCUCUUAUUUGUUCGAUUCAUUACAGCCUCAUGAAUUAUCUUGUGCCUGUUGAUCACAGAAUGUAAUCCUACUGUCUCUUCCCAAAGAUAAAACAAUUGAGGCAUUUGAGGCAUUCCUCUGAUACUAAAUUACAUAAACAAAACUGAUUUGUCUUGGUGAAAUGAUAAAAGUGUGAACAUGGCCUGUAACUCGAUGACUAAGAAUUCUAAUCAAUAUGAAAUACAAAAAACAUCCAACAUACAGUGACAGAAAUCUGUUGGAACAGAGCAUUCUUAUGACAUUUACGAUACAGAUCACCCUUCUCUCUCUCUGUUCUUCUAUUAAAUUUUAGCAUGAAGAUGCUAUAAAUGAAAUUUUAAACAUUAAUAUAGCAGCUCACAAUUAUUUUCCUUCAGUGACGUGUAAAGGCGUUAUGAGCAGAGAAUGAAGCAACGCUCCAUCUGUGUGUGCUACAAUCUGAGCUUUUCUGUUUCUUUUUUACAUAACUGAAUGGGCUGAACAUGCAAUUUUGGUGCAUGCAAGUCCAACCUUGUGAAACUAUUGUCCCUCCCCAUGUUCAUAAAGAGACAGCAAGGAGUGACAGCCUACUGUGCAUUUGGAUUGGGGGAAAUAGCAACUUUCCAGAAACUUUUUUGAAAACAGAGUUCAGAACUUAAAAAAGUGUCUGACCAAAGCUGUAGUUUGAACAGAAUCAAACAAAGGUCUGGCUUCUCCCAGCUGGAGAUCCCUUGGAACUGCUAGAUUGCUGCAACUUGACUAUGAACAAGGAGAAGCCAGUGUUUUCAUCAGAAAUGCUGGUGCUUUAGUGGAACAUCUAGUGGUACUAAAUCUUUUAUAGAAUCUUUAACUGUUGAUUUUGUCAUGAGCAGUGAUGUUAUGAAAGAUAUGAAUACAUGUGGCUACUCAAAAAUACACACACCAAAAAAAAAAAAACCCUCAACAAUUAGUGACCCAAGCUCUGAUUAUUAGCCCGUUUCUAUAACAUGACAUCACAGCAAAUUUUAGAUCGAACAGAUGGAGAUGAUGCCACUGCAAGGACCAAUAACAUCACAAGAAGCAGAAUCGCAGUAGUGAUGUCACAGUAAGCAGUAGUGAUGUCACAGUAAGCAGUAGUGCCAAAUGCCAGAAUGUUCUAGGAUCACAUCUGCGUUAGUGUUGGUGAUGUCACACUACAUAGGUAUGA